rnacentral:lncRNA from 1 species
CAUUUAAAAUAAGUUGAAAAUUGGAAUAAGCCGUAAAAACAGCAGUCUAAAGUAGCAAAUCUUCAAGGACUUCUUCAAAGCUAAUGGUUGAAAUUCACACCCCAAUUUUAGCCUCCAAAGCUGGCGCCGCCCUCCCUUCACUCAAUGUCCACUCACCUUUUGCAAACCUGCAAAACCAAUUCACAAUUUAAAAAAAAACAGCUUAUCCAAAUAAGCACUUUAAAAACUAGAAAAUAAAGGAUGGGACAAACAGAUUAGCUCUUUACACAACAAACCAAGAAGAACGUUCAAAGAUCACAUUCCAAUAUCCAAACCUACAACCUUAAAUCCAUAAGAUUAAGAAUAUCCAAACCUACAACCUUAAAUCCAUAAGAUUAAUCAUCCCACAAAAUCUGGAGAAAGGAUAGCUUGGCAAGUUAUCUUAUAACCAACAAUGAGCAUAUAUAAACAAGAAAAAAUUAAUUAACAAGACACGUUCUAAAAAACUCAGAGAAAUUGCUAAAAAUAUUUCUCUCUGUUAAAACCACAAACAAAAGAACAAGGCAUAGGUUUUUCGACAGAUUCAACAGGAUAACCAAAUAUUUCUCAACUCAAUCAAAGAUUUUUUCUUUGUUAAACCUAAACCAAAUAGAAGAAACUUUUUUUUCCAGAGAACAAUCAAACAAUAAUCCAUAAAAAGCUCUAAACCCUAAGACAUCAAGCCAAUCAACAACAACACUCAAAGCAAAAAUAAAAGAAAGCAAAAAAUAGAAGAAGAUGGAGAACUUAUCUUAAACCGUGGGGAGCUUCGCCGGAGUUGGAUUUCAAACAAGUAAUUUUUUCCUCCUUCGUUAAAGUCUUUGCAUCAUCAUCAUUUACGCCUCUUCAUACUGGAUGAGAUCUUUCUUUUAAUUUCUUCAAAACUUUGUUGUAGAACUUCAGAUCUUGAAUCUAGGGUUAGGUUUUGGGUGUUUAAGUUUUUGGUUAAGGUUAAGAACGAAUCAAGCUACGUUUGGCCAUAUGAGAAGGAGAGUUUAGGGUUAGUUUUG